rnacentral:rRNA from 1 species
UGGGGAAUAUUGCACAAUGGGCGCAAGCCUGAUGCAGCCAUGCCGCGUGUAUGAAGAAGGCCUUCGGGUUGUAAAGUACUUUCAGCGGGGAGGAAGGGAGUAAAGUUAAUACCUUUGCUCAUUGACGUUACCCGCAGAAGAAGCACCGGCUAACUCCGUGCCAGCAGCCGCGGUAAUACGGAGGGUGCAAGCGUUAAUCGGAAUUACUGGGCGUAAAGCGCACGCAGGCGGUUUGUUAAGUCAGAUGUGAAAUCCCCGGGCUCAACCUGGGAACUGCAUCUGAUACUGGCAAGCUUGAGUAUCGUCGAGGGGGGUAGAAUUCCAGGUGUGGCGGUGAAAUGCGUAGAGAUCUGGAGGAAUACCGGUGGCGAAGGCGGCCCCCUGGACGAAGACUGACGCUCAGGUGCGAAAGCGUGGGGAGCAAACAGG